rnacentral:rRNA from 1 species
AGAAUCAACGCUGGCGGCGUGCCUAACACAUGCAAGUCGAACGAGAAAGUGGAGCAAUCCACGAGUAAAGUGGCGCACGGGUGAGUAACACGUGACUAACCUACCCUUGAGUGGGGAAUAACUGAGGGAAACCUUAGCUAAUACCGCAUAACACCUACGGGUCAAAGGAGCAAUUCGCUUAAGGAGGGGGUCGCGGCAGAUUAGUUAGUUGGCGGGGUAAUGGCCCACCAAGACAGUGAUCUGUAUCCGGCCUGAGAGGGCGCACGGACACACUGGAACUGAAACACGGUCCAGACUCCUACGGGAGGCAGCAGUGGGAAUUUGCGCAAUGGGGGAAACCCUGACGCAGCAACGCCGCGUGGAGGAUGAAGACCCUUGGGUCGUAAACUCCUUUCGAUCGGGACGAUUAUGACGGUACCGGAAGAAGAAGCCCCGGCUAACUUCGCGCCAGCAGCCGC